rnacentral:rRNA from 1 species
UCUUGGUCAUUUAGAGGAAGUAAAAGUCGUAACAAGGUUUCCGUAGGUGAACCUGCGGAAGGAUCAUUAUCGUACAACAGAGGUGCGAAGGCUGUCGCUGACCUUCAAGGGUCGUGCACGCCUGAGCGCUCUCACACAAAUCCAUCUCACCCUUUGUGCAUCACCGCGUGGGUCCCCCCUUUGCGGGGAGGGCUCGCGUUUUCACACAAAACUUGUUACAGUGUAGAAUGUUUAUUUUUGCUGUCACACGCAAUCAAUACAACUUUCAACAACGGAUCUCUUGGCUCUCGCAUCGAUGAAGAACGCAGCGAAAUGCGAUACGUAAUGUGAAUUGCAGAAUUCAGUGAAUCAUCGAAUCUUUGAACGCACCUUGCGCCCCUUGGCAUUCCGAGGGGCACACCCGUUUGAGUGUCGUGAAAUUCUCAAAACCCUUUUUCUUUAAAGGACUUUUGGACUUGGAGGUUUAAUGCUCGCCUUUGCCUUUGAAAGUGAGCUCCUCUCAAAUGGAUUAGUGGGGUCCGCUUUGUCGAUCCUUGACGUGAUAAGAUGUUUCUACGUUUUGGAUUUGGCACAGUCUCUUGGACGUCCGCUCCUAACUGUCUUUCGGACAAACGAUGGUGCUCCGGUCACCGCCAUCUCUACGUUGGUGGAAGGCUGGACCCACGAAAACCUUGACCUCAAAUCGGGUGAGACUACCCGCUGAACUUAAGCAUAUCAAUAAGCGGAGGAAAAGAAACUAACAAGGAUUCCCCUAGUAACUGCGAGUGAAGCGGGAAAAGCUCAAAUUUAAAAUCUGGUGGUCUUUGGCCAUCCGAGUUGUAAUUUAGAGAAGCGAUUUCCGCGCUGGACCGUGCACAAGUCUCCUGGGAUGGAGCGUCAUAGAGGGUGAGAAUCCCGUCUUUGGCACGGAUGCACCAGGGCUUUUGUGAUGCGCUCUCGAAGAGUCGAGUUGUUUGGGAAUGCAGCUCAAAAUGGGUGGUGAACUCCAUCUAAAGCUAAAUAUUGGCGAGAGACCGAUAGCGAACAAGUACCGUGAGGGAAAGAUGAAAAGC